rnacentral:sRNA from 1 species
GAUUCGAACCUGCUGCAGGUUCGGUGUUGAGCGCAGCGAAACAACGGAGCCGCCUGCGGCGACGGCCCGAAGGGCGAGCGAAGCGAGUCAUCCUGCACGACCCACCA